ACAGGCACAGCCGCUUUGAGC
rnacentral:miRNA from 12 species